UCUCCCCCGUGUACUCUUCUAUGGGCAGGCCAGCAUCAGUCCGGGCGGUUGGAGAAAGACCUGUGUCAUGUAGCUGUUUUUCGGGCAGUGUUAUAGGGCAGGUGGAAUGCAACCAGCCUGGACUGAGGUCCGCGCAUCUGCUAGGAUGCUGGCGUAAUGGCUGUAAGCGGCCCGUCUUGAAACACGGACCAAGGAGUCUAACAUCUAUGCGAGUGUUUGGGUGUCAAGCCCGAGCGCGUAAUGAAAGUGAACGGAGGUGGGAACCUUUUAGGUGCACCAUCGACCGAUCCUGAUGUCUUCGGAUGGAUUUGAGUAAGAGCAUAGCUGUUGGGACCCGAAAGAUGGUGAACUAUGCCUGAAUAGGGUGAAGCCAGAGGAAACUCUGGUGGAGGCUCGCAGCGGUUCUGACGUGCAAAUCGAUCGUCAAAUUUGGGCAUAGGGGCGAAAGACUAAUCGAACUAUCUAGUAGCUGGUUCCUGCCGAAGUUUCCCUCAGGAUAGCAGUAACGUUUUCAGUUUUAUGAGGUAAAGCGAAUGAUUAGAGGCCUGGGGGUUGAAACAACCUUCACCUAUUCUCAAACUUUAAAUAUGUAAGAAGUCCUUGUUUCUUAAUUGAACGUGGACAUUUGAAUGUAUCGUUACUAGUGGGCCAUUUUUGGUAAGCAGAACUGGCGAUGCGGGAUGAACCGAACGCGGGGUUAAGGUGCCAGAAUGCACGCUCAUCAGACACCACAAAAGGUGUUGGUUCAUCUAG
rnacentral:rRNA from 1 species